GACGAACGCUGGCGGCGUGCUUAACACAUGCAAGUCGAACGGAAAGAGAUGAAAGAGCUUGCUCUUUUAUUAAUUUCAGUGGCAAACGGGUGAGUAACACGUAAACAACCUGCCUUAAGGAUGGGGAUAACAGACGGAAACGACUGCUAAUACCGAAUACGUUCUAAGCAUCGCAUGAUGCAUAGAAGAAAGGGUGGCCUCUACAAGAAAGCUAUCGCCUUAAGAGGGGUUUGCGACUGAUUAGGUAGUUGGUGAGGUAACGGCUCACCAAGCCGACGAUCAGUAGCCGGUCUGAGAGGAUGAACGGCCACACUGGAACUGAGACACGGUCCAGACUCCUACGGGAGGCAGCAGUGGGGAAUCUUCCGCAAUGGACGAAAGUCUGACGGAGCAACGCCGCGUGAACGAAGAAGGUCUUCGGAUUGUAAAGUUCUGUGAUUCGGGACGAAAGGGUAAAUAGUGAAUAACUAUAGACAUUGACGGUACCGAAAAAGCAAGCCACG
rnacentral:rRNA from 1 species